rnacentral:tRNA from 1 species
GAGCCAUUAGCUCAGCCGGCAGAGCAUCUGACUUUUAAUCAGGGGGUCUGGGGUUCAAAUCCCCAAUGGCUCACCA